AGCAGCCGCGGUAAUUCCAGCUCCAAUAGCGUAUAUUAAAGUUGUUGCAGUUAAAAAGCUCGUAGUUGAAUUUCGGGGUCAAUACGUCGGUCGUGCCUCGGUACGCACUAACGUUAUUGAUUCCUCCCUUCUGACGAACCGUGAUGUCAUUAAUUUGGUGUUGCGGGGAAUCAGGACUGUUACCUUGAAAAAAUUAGAGUGUUUAAAGCAGGCAAUCGCUCGAAUACAUUAGCAUGGAAUAAUGAAAUAGGACGUUCGAACCUAUUUUGUUGGUUUCUAGGAUCAACGUAAUGAUUAAUAGGGAUAGUUGGGGGCAUUAGUAUUCAAUUGUCAGAGGUGAAAUUCUUGGAUUUAUUGAAGACUAACUACUGCGAAAGCAUUUGCCAAGGAUGUUUUCAUUAAUCAAGAACGAAAGUUAGGGGAUCGAAGACGAUCAGAUACCGUCGUAGUCUUAACCAUAAACUAUGCCGACUAGGGAUCGGAUGAUGUUAAUUUUUUAUGACUCAUUCGGCGCCUUACG
rnacentral:rRNA from 1 species